AGCCAUGCAUGUCUAAGUAUAAGCAAUUAUACAGCGAAACUGCGAAUGGCUCAUUAUAUAAGUUAUCGUUUAUUUGAUAGUACCUUACUACUUGGAUAACCGUGGUAAUUCUAGAGCUAAUACAUGCUAAAAAUCCCGACUUCGGAAGGGAUGUAUUUAUUAGAUUAAAAACCAAUGCCCUCUGGGCUCCUUGGUGAUUCAUAAUAACUUUUCGAAUCGCAUGGCCUUGCGCCGGCCAUGGUUCAUUCAAAUUUCUUCCCUAUCAACUUUCGAUGUUUGGGUAUUGGCCAAACAUGGUCGCAACGGGUAACGGAGGGUUAGGGCUCGACCCCGGAGAAGGAGCCUGAGAAACGGCUACUACAUCCAAGGAAGGCAGCAGGCGCGCAAAUUACCCAAUCCCGAUUCGGGGAGGUAGUGACAAUAAAUACUGAUACAGGGCUCUUUUGGGUCUUGUAAUUGGAAUGAGUACAAUUUAAAUCCCUUAACGAGGAACAAUUGGAGGGCAAGUCUGGUGCCAGCAGCCGCGGUAAUUCCAGCUCCAAUAGCGUAUAUUAAAGUUGUUGUGGUUAAAAAGCUCGUAGUUGAACCUUGGGCCUGGCUGGCCGGUCCGCCUCACCGCGUGUACUGGUCCGGCCGGGCCUUUCCCUCUGUGGAACCUCAUGCCCUUCACUGGGUGUGGCGGGGAAACAGGACUUUUACUUUGAAAAAAUUAGAGUGCUCCAGGCAGGCCUAUGCUCGAAUACAUUAGCAUGGAAUAAUGAAAUAGGACGUGUGGUUCUAUUUUGUUGGUUUCUAGGACCGCCGUAAUGAUUAAUAGGGACAGUCGGGGGCAUCAGUAUUCAAUUGUCAGAGGUGAAAUUCUUGGAUUUAUUGAAGACUAACUACUGCGAAAGCAUUUGCCAAGGAUGUUUUCAUUAAUCAGGAACGAAAGUUAGGGGAUCGAAGACGAUCAGAUACCGUCGUAGUCUUAACCAUAAACUAUGCCGACUAGGGAUCGGACGAUGU
rnacentral:rRNA from 1 species